rnacentral:lncRNA from 1 species
AUGAGUCACACGGAACCGGGCGGCUGGUUCAUGGGUUUCCUGGGGAGCUCCGAUGUUUCUUACUCAGAUGUACGUCCUUCUGACCACUCAGCCCGUGUGGAGCCCGUGCAGGUCCCUGCCCCAGGCUACCAGGAGCAGGUGGUGUGCCCAGCAGUAUGUCCUGGAUGUGGGGGCCUCUCUGCCAUCACCCUUCAGGAGGCUGGAGGGCAGUUCAAGGUAAAGACAGACACCAGCCAGGAACAGCCAAGAACAACACCACCAGAACACACGGAGCCAGAGGCCUCCUGCCAGACGCCGUUUUUCCUCUAGAUAUUGUCGCCAAAAGACCCACUCAGAAAACCUCUCUGUCCCCUGGGCACCGUCCCCCCCCCCCAGCAUGUCAGUAAUAAGAAUAGCAAAAAUAAUUAGCUGUGAUAUUGGAUCGCCUACGAAGGUUCUAGACAUUUGUUUAUAUGAUUUCACUUUAAUCCUGGCCCUCCCCGCGCCCUCUGCAAGAUCUAAGCAGGUGUUAUCACAGUAAAGGAAACAGAGAAGUCGAGAAAUUGGUUGAAGUCACACAGUUAAUGAGUAACAGAGUUCACGUAGGUCUAAGAUGCGAACGUCAGUCUAUCCGGUUUUCAGAUUCCUAACUUCGUUUUGCCGAGUGAGGAAACUGCUUCUGCAGACUGAGGUUUUACUUCUUUCGGAAUCUCCUACGUCCCGUCCGAUGUGUCUCAAGUAUUCGGGGCUGUGAGGAUCUUUUAAAAAUGUUAAAAGCAAAGCCUGACUUCCCUCCACAAACUAUACUGCUGCACAUGGAGAGUUUUACGUAAAAUUUAAGGGUAUUUAUAGAUUUUUUUUUUUUACAGCUAUCUGCGAACUUCAGGUUAAGACACCCUGAUGACAUUCUUUUUUUUUUUUUUUUAUGAAUUGAUUUAGGAUUAUGGUUUUUCAAGCCUCAGAUCGUCAUCAUUCACAGCAGAACUCUGUGAGCUGCCCCUGCCCCUCCCCGACCGUCCAUCCACUCCUCCCAUUUGCUCUGUUUGCCUCUGCUCUAGGUGGGGCAGGAGAGAUUCAGAAGAGGGACAGAACCGGCUGUCCUUGAUAGGACUUCGAGGUCACUGGAGCUCCCAGUCUCAUUGACAGUUGGGGCAUUUCACUUCUUACAUCACCUGUGGCUUAUCCAAGUGUCCAGAGGUCGGAGGGAGCUCUGUAACUCACACGGCCCCUUUGAACUGAGAGGCAGAGACAAAAUGACAAUGAACUUGUGACUUGUCAAAGUUCCCCAACACACCUUGGUCUUGGUGGCCCCAGGCCUUCAGGCUUAUUAUCUUUCCCUCUGCUGGGUCAUUUGCUCCUCUUCAAGACAAGCUUGGCCUCAUCUCCUUUUGGAUGCCCUCCCUGGACGUUGCCCACUACGUCCAGAUGAUAAGCCCUGGAAAUAAAUGUUUGUCAAACGGCA